CCAUUGAACAUUGCAAAUGAAAUUUGUACCCAUUACCCCUGUUGAAGUGUUCGUUUAGUCCGGACAAAUUUGUGUUACGACCAAACCGUAGAUCAUUUAUAACUUUGACAAUUUGAGCAUGUAUAAUAUGUAUAGUAUCUUAUGGCUAUCAACAUCAAAAUGAAUAGCUUCAAUUUCAUUAUCAUUUCAAUUCAAGUGUCUU